rnacentral:tRNA from 1 species
UCGCUUUUAGUUCAAUGGACAGAAUGGGAGACUUCUAAUCUUCUGAUAAUGGUUCAACUCCAUUAAAGCGAACCA